rnacentral:rRNA from 1 species
CCGCGUGCGAGGAAGAAGGUUUUCGGAUCGUAAACCUUGGCGUUUCUCGGGGAAGAGGAACGGACCGGUACCGAGGAAGAAGCCCCGGCUAACUACGUGC